GACGAACGCUGGCGGCGUGCUUAACACAUGCAAGUCGAGCGGUAAGGCCCUUCGGGGUACACGAGCGGCGAACGGGUGAGUAACACGUGGGUGACCUGCCUCUAGCUCUGGGAUAAGCCUGGGAAACCGGGUCUAAUACCGGAUAUGACUCCAUGACGCAUGUUGUGGGGUGGAAAGCCUUGUGCGGCUGAGGAUGGGCCCGCGGCCUAUCAGCUUGUUGGUGGGGUGAUGGCCUACCAAGGCGACGACGGGUAGCCGGCCUGAGAGGGCGACCGGGCCACACUGGGACUGAGACACGGCCCAGACUCCUACGGGAGGCAGCAGUGGGGAAUCUUGCGCAAGUGGGACGAAAGCCUGACGCAGCGACGCCGCGUGAGGGAUGACGGCC
rnacentral:rRNA from 1 species